rnacentral:rRNA from 1 species
UACAGAGGGGGCAAGCGUUGUUCGGAAUUACUGGGCGUAAAGGGCGCGUAGGCGGCCUGUUAAGUCGAACGUGAAAUCCCCGGGCUCAACCCGGGAACCGCGUCCGAUACUGGCAGGCUUGAAUCCGGGAGAGGGAUGCGGAAUUCCAGGUGUAGCGGUGAAAUGCGUAGAUAUCUGGAGGAACACCGGUGGCGAAGGCGGCAUCCUGGACCGGCAUUGACGCUGAGGCGCGGAAGCCAGGGGAGCAAACGGG